ensembl:lncRNA
UCUCCCAACCUGCUGUGACACCCUACACUCCAGCCAAUUUUACUUAGCCUACCAUUCCAGAAUCUCCAGCUCCUUAUCUUUUAUCUGAUAAUAUUUACCUUACAGCCACAGUUACACAAGAUACAAAAAAACACCAUAAUAUUAGUGUACACACUCUAAUUGAAAGUCCCAGCACAAACACGUACCACCAUGCAGCAUUACGGACUAUUGCAUCUUCACACUCACCCUUCCUUCCAUCCUUCCACGGGGAAUCAGUGGGAGUAUCAGGGGUCUUUACCAGCCCCAGAUAGGGUGUCAUUGACUGAUAUGACCUCAGAGUAUGAUUACUGAUCCUGGUGUCCUAGUCGGCAGAUCUACAGAGACCAAUUCAGUGGGCUUUAGUUGGAAUGGAGGAUAUCUCCUCACUCUUAUGACCAUCAGGGUGAUAAUCUGCUGCACCCCAGCCUGCUUGGCCAGGCGCUGUCUGAGAAGACCCUGCUAGAUCUGGACAGAGAGCUCAUUCAUCAGUCUUACACUCUCACAGGAUUAUCCUCUUCGGUUGUCACAUUUAAACCCUUCAUGCUUAAACCAAAGAGUCUUUAUUUGCUUGAAGUGUCUGCAAGUGAGUUUUCCAUCUUGUUUUGUUAAUUCAG